AAGCACUGCCUUUGAAUCUGAUGUGUUUUGUUUGUAGGUUCAUGGGCCAAGCAACAGUGCUAGAGUAUAGGGACUUAUUAUAACUGGGACUCCAGCUCUCUCAACAGAACUGCUGUUUUAAAAACAAGGCAUUU